rnacentral:lncRNA from 1 species
UUUCUUGUAGAGAUAAUUUUUGAGAGAUAAAUGGAUUGUUCCGAUCACUAUGGGCUCGUUUGAGAGUGAUUUUAGAUAGGCCAAUAAUCACUUUUCCAUUGAAUUGCUUAAAAUCAAAGUGAUUAUAUGAAGAAGUGCGUGAGAGAUGCUUCUCCUCAUAAAUAAUUUGACCCUCGCAAAAUUACUCUCAAACAAAUCCUAAAUUACAUGGCAGGAUGAAGAUGUGGAAGGAGAAAGAAGAAAAAGAUAUUAAUAUCGAUGAAAAUAAAAAAUAAAUUCCUUUCAUAUUUCUCAAAAGUUCUUUUUUACGUCUCCACUAAUAACUGUCAUGUGUCAUUAUUAAUGAGUAAAGCAUCUAUUUCCCACCCCAAAAAAACAAAAAAUUUUAAAUUUUUGUUUAAUUUGACAAGAAAGUGUGUGACAGAGAAAAUGAAAGAAUCACCGUUUAUACCUGAAAAAGAAAAGAAAAUUUAAAAAAAAAAAAAAACAAUAAAUCCCGUGUAAAGUGACAGAUUCCUCCCAGCAGGCGUCCACCUGAAGGGCUCGUGGCCGUGUCCGUACAUUCUGAUGUGGCUGGCUGCUGCAGAUUUACCCUUUUUUCAAUUAUUCUGCUGUCCCCUCUUCUUUCGUCAUCAAACUAAAAAAAGAUACCACAUU